GAAGUCUUCCUGCUGUCGGCGUUGCAUCCAGUUGUCUUCAGACGUCUCGUCAUGUUUGCGGGUUUUUGUUUCGGUCUGCUGGCUCUCUCCUCGCUGAGCGCCGCAUCGGAAGCGACCUGUGAAGAGCUGCUCGUACCUGUGGACGACCUCGACCUGGUUGUUGGAAAAUGGAUAUAUUAUGCUGGAACAUCAGACAAUAAGGAUUACUUGAAUAAACUUCAAACAAUUUCCAGCACCUGGAUGGACGUGACCCCGGUGGCCAACACUGAUAAUGUCACAUUAACAUGGGGGGACAAAGUGUAACUUAUUCUUUUCAUUCUCACGUUACUGUUAAGAAAAGAUGAAUCGAGGAAAUUGGACUCUAACUGGUUGUUGAAGACCUUUCACCUUGAAUCCAAAGAGCUGGAAAGUGCAUAUUUGAAAUCAAUACUUCAACUUAUUCAAACUUAUCGGCAACGGUGGAGUUUCACUACAGCUCUUCUAACGAAACACAUCAUGAGCGAUACCUGAAGACGUGUCCGGACUGCCUCCUCUUGUUUGAAAAUGUGACAAUGAAGAGCCUUCAUUUGAAUCCCAUAGAAGGCAGAUUCCUCAUCCUCUUAACGAAGUCUGGAAGACGAGAUGAUGCUCAACUGGAAGUUUUCAAGAAACAGGCCGCUUGCCUGAACUUCCAAGAAGAAUUGCACUUUGGAGAGAGCACAGAUCUGUGUCCAGAAGUGACUGUUCCUCAAGAAAACCAACAAUAAACCAUCAUUUUUUAUGCAGAUAGUACGAAGGAGA